rnacentral:rRNA from 1 species
AGCGCGGAUGGGUGAGUAACACGUGGGUAAUCUGCCCUGCACAGGGGGAUAACAGCUGGAAACGGCUGUUAAUACCGCAUAUGCACACGUUAUCGCAUGAUAGAGUGUGAAAGAUUUUAUCGGUGCAGGAUGAGCCCGCGUCGGAUUAACUAGUUGGCAGGGUAACGGCCUACCAAGGUGAUGAUCCGUAGCCGGCCUGAGAGGGCGACCGGCCACAUUGGGACUGAGACACGGCCCAAACUCCUACGGGAGGCAGCAGUGGGGAAUAUUGCACAAUGGGCGCAAGCCUGAUGCAGCGACGCCGCGUGAAGGAAGACGUAUUUCGGUAUGUAAACUUCUAUCAGCGGGGAAGAAGAUGACGGUACCCGACUAAGAAGCCCCGGCUAACUACGUGCCAGCCGCCGC